UCUAAUCUUAACUAAUUUUUAUAUCAAAAAGAAAAGAUGAAAAGCUGAGAUUGAAGGAUUUGGAUGUUCAUCUAUUUUUAUGCUAUAUAGAUUAUUUCUUGAGUUAACCAUGAAUAUAAAAUCAUAGGAUGUGCAUAAAAUGUUUUAAUUAUUGAGUUAAAGCAAUAAAAUUCUAGCACGAUAAGAUUGAAAGUCCCCAAAAUAUUCAUAAUUGAAUCUUAGAAUUUUGAUGCUAUUUAGGCUGUAGUAAUUCGCAUAUAAUGAGUUAACAUGAAUUGGAUGGAGAAUUGUUUAGGAAAUGAAAUAUAUGGUGAAGAUUGAGGUGAUCAUAUGAUGAGUUAACAUGAAUUAGAGGGAGAAUUGUUUAGGAAAUGAACAUUUGUUGAAGAUUUAGGUGAUCGGAUAUAUGGCAUGUGUAUGCUAUGAAUUUUAUUUGAUUAUUGGAAUGCAUAUAUGUGAUCUAGAAAUGAUAAAAUGCAUACGGUAGUUUUAUUAAUGGUUACAAAGAUUGUUGAUACAUUGCAAAAUUUGUUAUAAUAAUGGAGUUAAAAGGGAAAAUAAAUUAAUAUAGUAAAUAAAUUAGAUGUUCCGGUUUUGGAAAUCUGGUUUAGAAUAGAUAUAAGAGUUAAUAUACAUUUAUGAGGAUCUUCUGAGAAGGUUUAAUAAUCAUAAACAUUUAUUUUGUAAAAUAAGUUGAGAGCAGUAACUUGUGAAUGGUAACAGAAUAAUUGUGGUAAUUUUAUGUGAAAGGCUAAUGAGGUCAAAUGGAUAAGAAGUGAGUAUAUAUCAUAAAUGAUAAUAUAAGGAAUGAGUAUAAUAAAAUUGAGAACUAGUUAUAAUCAUAUGGUAUUCGUAAUGAAUUGAUUAGUUUACUAAUAUUGGUUGUAAAUAGUGUUGGGUGAAUAGUAACAGAAACUUGAUGCAUUUUAGUUAGAUAGUUUAAUGAUGUGAAAUAAGUAUGAAAAUGAAAUGUGUGGUGCUAUGUGCUAUUAUGUGAUGAUCGUAUACUUUUGAUCCCGUAUGAUUAUUUAUGCAAUCUGUGAUAUAUUAACAUAGUUGGACAUGCCAUAUAAGUGCUAUGUGCUAUUAUGUGAUGAUCGUAUACUUUUGAUCCCGUAUGAUUAUUUAUGCAAUCUGUGAUAUAUUAACAUAGUUGGACAUGCCAUAUAAAAUAUGGAAAUAUUGGAUGGAAUAUGGUAAUGAAAUAACUUGACUAAUGGACUGGGAAUGAGAUGGAAUUAUGGGUGAGCAUGAUGACUUAUGUGAUGCCACGUGCUUGGUUGAUGUCAUUGGGCAUAUUCAGCAUGAGAUGUGAUGUGAUGUGAUUGAUUCGGUCGGGCCACGCGCGGUGGCAAUGAUAUGUUAUGCACCACAUUUACUCAUGGGGCUAUACGGCCAGGCGGUUAAUAAUAUUUGAUGCGGAAUUGCCCCAUGAGCUAUAAUGCCAGGCGGUGUAGUUAUGUGGGUGCACUAUGUUCACUCAUGGGGCUAUAAGGCCAGGCGGUUCAUGUUGAUAUAUGAUGAAUUGCCCCAUGAGCUAUAAGGCCAGAUGGUACAUGUAUGAGAGUUAUGUGUUGCAGCUUAUUCGAUCGGUCCACACGCGGUGGAAAUAUUAUAUGAUUUCGAUCGGGUCUCACGCGGGGGCGUAUAUAUAUUGACAUGGUACCCAUGGUGUUGCCAAGCACGUGGAUCAGGGCUUAAUAUGGUGAUGUCUGUGCUGAUGAUGAACUUGAUUACGUGUGAUCGGUCGAUGUUCAUUUGAAUUGGUGAAUUAUCUGCAUCCAAGAGGUUAAACUGAGCAUGAUGACGGUGCUAUGGUUGUGUGAGUCGUCUAGCAAAAGGGAAAGCUGCAGACGAUGGCGAGGCAAGUGGGAAGCGGAAAUCUGUGGUUGGCGUCCUUGCACAAGCAAAGAGACCUCAAUUAAGAAUCAAGAGAACAACUCGUUUUUUCUUGCGCAUCCUGAAGUCAAUGAACGAAAGGCAGAAAACUGCUGUAAGGCAGCUCGGAUUCGGUGGACUUCUCGAUUUUGACGUGGCAUCUGUUCCAGGAACCUUAGCAUAUUGGCUAUUGGAGCAUUUUGACCACCUACGUUGCAGUCUUAUGCUGCCUAAUGAUGUUCAGUUAGUGGUUGACACGAAAGACGUUGAGCUUGUUUUUGGUUUCCCAAAUGGGGGGCUUAAAAUUGAUCGAUGUGACAUAAACACCGGCAUCAAAUACCUGGAAACUAUUCCACUCGAAGAGGAGGUUGAUAUUAAUGCGAUGCAGACGAAGGUGCUAGAAACUAAGUUGCUACAAGAAACCGGGGGGGUGCACUGUUUAAGAAGAUAUUCUUACUGCUGAUGGAAACUGCACUCAUUGAGACCUCACCUUGUGGC